rnacentral:lncRNA from 1 species
CAAAGACCUCAAAGGGCCUUCCAGUCAAGGUCCCUUCAGCUCUCUGAGUUACUCUUACCGAUUGUAGGAAAAGGCAAGCAUGCUGAAGAACAGUUGGCUCCACGGGUGACUACGAGUUUGGGGUGGGACCCCAGGGACAGGCUAUUUAUGGCGAACUGGGGAAACACAGCCAAAGAAACACCCACUCAAGCCCUUCUGCGGAGCCACCCUGCCCUGGAGGCUGGACUGCCUGUUUCUGAAGCCACCUUCCGUGGGUCCUAAGUGAGGUCUGCAAGAAACUGGCUGUCACCAUCCAAGCCUGCCAGCUUCACAUGAUAAAACUCCCUGGCACUCUGAGCUGGUGUGCCCCACAGACACCUCACCACCACCCGCUCCAGGGAGGGGCCCUCCUGAGUGAUGUGCCAGGAGGCAGGGCCAGGCCUGCUGGGAGGCGGGCCUGCCUCAUCGGUAUUUCCAUUUCCACUCAGCCCUCAGGCUGAAAGGGAGGAAUGGGACACUCCUCAAAGCCAGCACGCUAUUGAUUCAAUAUUCAAAAUAUGUGCAAGUCACUGUCCAAAGCACUGGGGAUCUUACAGUGAAGACCACAGAAAAAAUCCUGUCUCUUGGAGCUUACUGCCAAGUGGGGGAAUCUAACAAUAAAAAGAUAAACAAAUAAAUAGUAUGUUAGGUGACGGCAAUUCUCAUAGACAGGGG